GACGAACGCUGGCGGCGUGCCUAACACAUGCAAGUCGAGGGCGAAAGCCUCCUUCGGGAGGCAAGUAGACCGGCGGACGGGUGCGUAACACGUGAGCAACCUGCCCAAGAGAGGGGGAUAACCCGGGGAAACCCGGGCUAAUACCGCAUAAUGUGACCACUUUAUAUGGAGAGGUCACCAAAAGAGGGCGUCUUUAGCGGAGCUCUCGCUUUUGGAUGGGCUCGCGGCCUAUCAGCUUGUUGGUGGGGUAACGGCUCACCAAGGCAAUGACGGGUAGCUGGUCUGAGAGGAUGAUCAGCCACACGGGGACUGAGACACGGCCCCGACUCCUACGGGAGGCAGCAGUGGGGAAUUUUGGACAAUGGGCGAAAGCCUGAUCCAGCGACGCCGCGUGCGGGAGGAAGCCCUUCGGGGUGUAAACCGUUGUCAGGAGGGAAGAACAGGUCCGGGUUAAUACCCCGGGCCGC
rnacentral:rRNA from 1 species